CAACACCUCUGUGCUAUUUCUUGAGAUCAAACAAGUGGAUUCAUCUGACUCUGGGCUGUAUUUCUGUGGUGAGGACAGUUCUGAAAAGUUAAUAGUUUAUGGUGCAACAAAUUUAAAGGUUCAAGAAGGUAGAUCACAAAAUCCAUCCACUAUGAUCCUGGGCAGUUUAACUGUUUUCCUUCUCCUGGUCAUCAUCGGUCUGAUUGUCAAGAUCAGGAAAUUUUAUACAGCUGAAGAUGACAGACAGAAUCCACAACGCAGUGAGGGCAGAAUUUUGUCUAACCCUACACAUCAGAACAAAAAUCAGAAGGCCUGUACCACAGAGAGAGCUGGAGCCAAAUGUUGUGUACGCUGCUACGAGAUAGACUCACAGGAAAAGCAACACAAAAACUCUCUCAAACAUUAUGUUGUUAGUUGAUAAAAAUAGUGUGACUGAUGGUUGAUGGGGGGCGAGCUAGUGAGGACUUUGAUGUAUAGCUUAGAUUAUCUUAUAGUGAAAGUGAGUGAGGCUCUGCUGUAGUGUAAUAGUAACACAGAUGUAGUUUACCUUGUUUGACAGGAAGAGACUCAUCUAAUCUCUGAGGCUUAUUUUACAGGCUCUGUUGCUGCUAAAAGUCCUGCAGCUUUGUACAAGUAUGUGAGGCCAGACUCUGCAUCAGCUUUUUUUGGUUGUUUGGUUGGUGCAAAGUCUUGCCACUGUGACAUCCACCUGCCAGAGCUACAGACUCUUCUCUGGGCAGUUAAAGCUCUAAUUAAAUUUUGAACUUGAAUCUUAAUGCAAAAAUGCAUGUAUAUAAUCACACAUAAAAUCUCAUUAAAGCUGAAGCAACAGACUUGCAGGUUGUAAUAA